rnacentral:rRNA from 1 species
UACGUAGGGGGCAAGCGUUGUCCGGAUUUACUGGGCGUAAAGGGCGCGUAGGCGGCGCGGUAAGUCACUUGUGAAAUCUCUGAGCUUAACUCAGAACGGCCAAGUGAUACUGCAGUGCUAGAGUGUGGAAGGGGCAAUCGGAAUUCUUGGUGUAGCGGUGAAAUUCGUAGAUAUCAGGAGGAACACCAGUGGCGAAGGCGGCUUCCUGGACACCAACUGACGCUGAGACGCGAAAGCGUGGGGAGCGAACAGG